ensembl:snRNA U1 U1 spliceosomal RNA
AUACUUACCUAGCAGGGAGGUACCAUGAUCAUGAAGGUGGUUUUCCCAGGGCGAGGCUUAUCCAUUGCAUUUCGAAUGUGCUGACCCCUGUGGUUUCCCCAAAUGUGGGAAACUCAACUGCAUAAUUUGUGGUAGUGGGGGACUGUGUUUGAGGUCUCCCCCG